UGGCAAUGAUUAAAUAUUAUCCGCGCUUCUGAGUUUUCACUAUGAAGUAAAUGGAAUUAAUGGUUGAAUUUCUUAAUAUGAGCCA